rnacentral:rRNA from 1 species
UGCAGUCGAACGCGGAAGGAUUCUUCGGAAUCUGGAAGAGUGGCGAACGGGUGAGUAACACGUAAGAAUCUGCCCCUCGGACGGGGAUAACUCUUGGAAACGAGAGCUAAUACCCGAUAAGCUGUGGAGUGAAAGGAUUCCGCCGAGGGAUGAUCUUGCGCCUGAUUAGCUUGUUGGUAUGGUAAUGGCAUACCAAGGCGACGAUCAGUAGCUGGUCUGAGAGGAUGGACAGCCACAUUGGAACUGAGACACGGUCCAAACUCCUACGGGAGGCAGCAGUGGGGAAUUUUCCGCAAUGGACGAAAGUCUGACGGAGCGACGCUGCGUGAAGGAUGACGGCCCGAGGGUUGUAAACUUCUUUUCUCGAAGAAGAAGCUCUGACGGUAUUCGAGGAAUAAGCAUCGGCUAACUCCGUGCCAGCAGCCGCGGUAAGACGGAGGAUGCAAGUGUUAUUCGGAAUGAUUGGGCGUAAAGCGUCUGUAGGCGGUCUAGAAAGUCUUUUGUGAAAUACCUCGGCUCAACCGAGAUCCCGCAAAAGAAACUCCUAGUCUUGAGGGAAGUAGAGGUACAGGGAAUUCCCGG